GGGUGAGUAACGCGUGAGUAACCUGCCUUACACAAGGGGAUAGCCGUUGGAAACGACGAAUAAUACCCUAUGAAACUAUCACUUCGCAUGAAGCGAUAGUCAAAGUGUUAGCGGUGUAAGAUGGACUUGCGUCUGAUUAGCUAGUUGGUGAGAAAAAAGCCCACCAAGGCAACGAUCAGUAGCCGGCUUGAGAGAGUGUACGGCCACAUUGGGACUGAGACACGGCCCAG
rnacentral:rRNA from 1 species